AGUAGCUGCGUCCCCUGCUAGAACCUCCAAACAAGCUCUCAAGGUCCAUUUGUAGGAGAACGUAGGUAGUCAAGCUUCCAAGACUCCAGACACAUCCAAAUGAGGCGCUGCAUGUGGCAGUUUGCCUUUCUUU
rnacentral:snRNA from 1 species